rnacentral:rRNA from 1 species
AGUGAACGCUGGCGGCGUGGAUUAGGCAUGCAAGUCGAGCGAUCCCGCAAGGGAUAGCGGCAAACGGGUUAGGAACACGUAGAUAAUCUUCCUUAUAUCCUGACAUAGCCCUAUGAAAAUAGGGGUAAUAUCAGAUGGCACCUUGAAAGGACAUCCUUUUAAGAUUAAAGUAGGGGACCGCAAGGCCUUACGAUAUAAGAUGAGUCUGCGUAGCAUCAGCUAGUUGGUAGGGUAAUGGCCUACCAAGGCUAAGACGCUUAGCUGGUCUGA